GCCAGCAUAGUGUAGUGGUUUGAAUGUAGACUUAGAAUUCUGGGAGACCUGGGUUCGAAUCCCUGCUCAGCCA